CAGUGGCGCACGGGUGCGUAACACGUAUGCAACCUACCUAUUAUUGGGGGAUAGCCUUUGGAAACGGAGAUUAAUACCGCAUAAGACAGUGACAUGGCAUCAUGUAGCUGUUAAAGCUUUGGCGAUAAUAGAUGGGCAUGCGUCCAAUUAGUUAGUUGGUGAGGUAAUGGCUCACCAAGACGAUGAUUGGUAGGGGAUCUGAGAGGAUAAUCCCCCACACUGGCACUGAGAUACGGGCCAGACUCCUACGGGAGGCAGCAGUGGGGAAUUUUCCGCAAUGGGCGAAAGCCUGACGGAGCAACGCCGCGUGAGGGAGGAAGGUCUUUGGAUUGUAAACCUCUUUUCUCAAGGAAGAAGUUCUGACGGUACUUGAGGAAUCAGCCUCGGCUAACUCCGUGCCAGCAGCCGCGGUAAUACGGGGGAGGCAAGCGUUAUCCGGAAUUAUUGGGCGUAAAGCGUCCGCAGGUGGUCAGCCAAGUCUGCCGUCAAAUCAGGUUGCUUAACGACCUAAAGGCGGUGGAAACUGGCAGACUANAGAGCAGUAGGGGUAGCAGGAAUUCCCAGUGUAGCGGUGAAAUGCGUANAGAUUGGGAAGA
rnacentral:rRNA from 1 species